GCAAAGGUAGCUCAGCGAAAAUGCCUCUCGGAGAAAGGCAAGGUGACAAGAGCGAGUCACGGUAUUGUGGCAUCGAAACGGAGUUCAACGAUGAUAUGCCACACGUCCUCGCUUUCAAUCUCUCGUCCGGUGGCUUCGAUUUCUUUAUUGCCCCUCUGAUGGAUCCUGCUUAUCGGCCAAGUUUAGUUCAAAAGGAUAGUGCAGAGUCUGGUCUUCUACCAUUUGCUGGGUCAGACCUGGUCAUGAGUCCAUCCCAGUAGAGCAGUCAUGUUGUUGGAAAAAUUAGCUCGUGGAUAGAUUUGGAUUCAGAAGAUGAAACCAUUAGGAUGGAUUCUGAGACCACUCUUAAGCAAGAAAUAGCUUGGGCCUCUCAUCUCUCUUUACAAGCUUGCUUACUUCCAGCACCAAAGGUAAUAUCUUGUGCCCAAUUAUGCUAGGUGUGUAAAUCAAAUUUUAGAGGGCCUAAGCAAUAUGCAGGUGCUAUUCUAAGUUCAAGCUCUAUGUCCAAUCCAUUAGC